GCAGUCGAGCGAGCGGAACCAACAGAUUUACUUCGGUAAUGACGUUGGCAUAGCGAGCGGCGGAUGGGUGAGUAACACGUGGGGAACCUGCCCCUAAGUCUGGGAUACCAUUUGGAAACAGGUGCUAAUACCGGAUAAUAAAGCAGAUCGCAUGAUCAGCUUUUGAAAGGCGGCGUAAGCUGUCGCUAAGGGAUGGCCCCGCGGUGCAUUAGCUAGUUGGUAAGGUAACGGCUUACCAAGGCGACGAUGCAUAGCCGAGUUGAGAGACUGAUCGGCCACAUUGGGACUGAGACACGGCCCAAACUCCUACGGGAGGCAGCAGUAGGGAAUCUUCCACAAUGGACGCAAGUCUGAUGGAGCAACGCCGCGUGAGUGAAGAAGGUUUUCGGAUCGUAAAGCUCUGUUGUUGGUGAAGAAGGAUAGAGGUAGUAACUGGCCUUUAUUUGACGGUAAUCAACCACAAAGUCACGGCUAACUACGUGCCAGCAGCCGCGGUAAUACGUAGGUGGCAAGCGUUGUCCGGAUUUAUUGGGCGUAAAGCGAGCGCAGGCGGAAAAAUAAGUCUAAUGUGAAAGCCCUCGGCUUAACCGAGGAACUGCAUCGGAAACUGUUUUUCUUGAGUGCAGAAGAGGAGAGUGGAACUCCAUGUGUAGCGGUGGAAUGCGUAGAUAUAUGGAAGAACACCAGUGGCGAAGGCGGCUCUCUGGUCUGCAACUGACGCUGAGGCUCGAAAGCAUGGGUAGCGAACAGGAUUAGAUACCCUGGUAGUCCAUGCCGUAAACGAUGAGUGCUAAG
rnacentral:rRNA from 1 species